rnacentral:rRNA from 1 species
CCCUUAGAUGUUCUGGGCAGCACGCGCGCUACAAUGGUCUUCGCAAACGGAUGCAUUCUCGAAGGAGAAUGCCAAUCUUGGAAUCUAUGCCUUGGUCGGGACAGUUGCUUGCAAUUUUUCGACUCGAACCAGGAAUUCCUUGUAAUCGUGAUUCAUCACAUCACGAUGAAUACGUCCCUGCCCUUUGUGCACACCGCCCGUCGCUCCUACCGAUCGAAGAGUUAGGUGAAUUGUUUUGAUCGAUAAGAUUUGACUAUGGUCAACUCUCGUUGUGAAAUUCUGUGAAUCUGACUGUUUAGAGGAAGGAAAAGUCGUAACA